GCAGGAUUGGAACCAGCCAGAGAAUCGCCUUAGUCUGCUGGACUAUGCUACAACAUUAUGGUAGAAGGCAACAGCAUUAACUAAAUGGAAAAAAUGACAUUAACAAGAAGGUUGAUGGAUUUGGAUUAUUUUUCAUGUGUCCUGAAGGUAAAACCAGUGUCCUCACUUGUUUUCCUCUUUUUCCUCAUUUUGAAGACUAUCUGUUUUCAUUUUCUUUACCUCCUCUCUGGCUACGUGUCCCCGGAAGGCAGCUUGGAUUUUGACAGCAGCAACCUCUUCUUUUUCCUUAUCUUCCUCAGAAGAGUCCUUCAUCGAAAGGAGAAAAAUUACCGUCCACACUGCAUGCCCAUGAGAAAUACAAUGAAGAUGGUCUGAAUAAUGAACUGGUAAUCUUCGAUAAUACGAAACGAAUUUAAGAAAACAUAUCAAAGAGGUACAUACUGUUUCAAAGAGCAAGAACUGUUAACGGAAACUCCCUGCCUCAUAAAGGCUUUCUGCAGAAUGGAGAUGGUCUUAAGCAAGUUUUACUAUAAACAAAUGCUUAGUUUCUUAUUUUAAAAAAUGACUAAUUUUAGAAA